rnacentral:rRNA from 2 species
UUUGGUCGCCCACGAGUGGCGGACGGGUGAGUAACACGUAGGUAACCUGCCCAGAAGCGGGGGACAACAUUUGGAAACAGAUGCUAAUACCGCAUAACAGCGUUGUUCGCAUGAACAACGCUUAAAAGAUGGCUUCUCGCUAUCACUUCUGGAUGGACCUGCGGUGCAUUAGCUUGUUGGUGGGGUAACGGCCUACCAAGGCGAUGAUGCAUAGCCGAGUUGAGAGACUGAUCGGCCACAAUGGGACUGAGACACGGCCCAUACUCCUACGGGAGGCAGCAGUAGGGAAUCUUCCACAAUGGGCGCAAGCCUGAUGGAGCAACACCGCGUGAGUGAAGAAGGGUUUCGGCUCGUAAAGCUCUGUUGUUAAAGAAGAACACGUAUGAGAGUAACUGUUCAUACGUUGACGGUAUUUAACCAGAAAGUCACGGCUAACUACGUGCCAGCAGCCGCGGUAAUACGUAGGUGGCAAGCGUUAUCCGGAUUUAUUGGGCGUAAAGAGAGUGCAGGCGGUUUUCUAAGUCUGAUGUGAAAGCCUUCGGCUUAACCGGAGAAGUGCAUCGGAAACUGGAUAACUUGAGUGCAGAAGAGGGUAGUGGAACUCCAUGUGUAGCGGUGGAAUGCGUAGAUAUAUGGAAGAACACCAGUGGCGAAGGCGGCUACCUGGUCUGCAACUGACGCUGAGACUCGAAAGCAUGGGUAG